GAGGUCCCGCCUGCCCCGUGACCAUGAAGUUUAACGGCCGCGGUACUUUGACCGUGCGAAGGUAGCGCAAUCACUUGUCUUUUAAAUGGAGACCUGUAUGAAUGGCAUGACGAGGGCUUAACUGUCUCCUUUUUCCAGUCAAUGAAAUUGAUCUUCCCGUGCAGAAGCGGGAAUAACACCAUAAGACGAGAAGACCCUGUGGAGCUUUAGACACCAAGACAGACCAUGUUAAACACCCCUCCUAAGGGAUUAAACUCAUUGGAUUCCUGCUCUAAUGUCUUUGGUUGGGGCGACCUCGGAGAAACAAAAAACCUCCAUGUGGAAUAGGAGUACUACACUCCCAAAACCAAGAGCCACAGCUCAAAUUAACAGAACUUCUGACCAAUCUUUUUAUCCGGCCACCCACGCCGAUCAACGGACCGAGUUACCCCAGGGAUAACAGCGCAAUCCUCUUUUAGAGCUCAUAUCGACAAGAGGGUUUACGACCUCGAUGUUGGAUCAGGACAUCCUAAUGGUGCAGCC
rnacentral:rRNA from 1 species